CAUAGGUUAAUGAGGCGAACCGGGGGAACUGAAACAUCUAAGUACCCCGAGGAAAAGAAAUCAACCGAGAUUCCCCCAGUAGCGGCGAGCGAACGGGGAGGAGCCCAGAGCCUGAAUCAGUGUGUGUGUUAGUGGAAGCGUCUGGAAAGGCGCGCGAUACAGGGUGACAGCCCCGUACACAAAAAUGCACAUAUUGUGAGCUCGAUGAGUAGGGCGGGACACGUGGUAUCCUGUCUGAAUAUGGGGGGACCAUCCUCCAAGGCUAAAUACUCCUGACUGACCGAUAGUGAACCAGUACCGUGAGGGAAAGGCGAAAAGAACCCCGGCGAGGGGAGUGAAAAAGAACCUGAAACCGUGUACGUACAAGCAGUGGGAGCCUCUUAAUGGGGUGACUGCGUACCUUUUGUAUAAUGGGUCAGCGACUUAUA
rnacentral:rRNA from 1 species